rnacentral:rRNA from 1 species
UACGAAGGGUGCAAGCGUUAAUCGGAAUUACUGGGCGUAAAGCGUGCGUAGGCGGUUCGUUAAGUCUGUUGUGAAAGCCCUGGGCUCAACCUGGGAAUGGCAAUGGAAACUGGCGAGCUAGAGUCAGGUAGAGGGUGGUGGAAUUCCCGGUGUAGCGGUGAAAUGCGUAGAGAUCGGGAGGAACAUCUGUGGCGAAGGCGGCCACCUGGACCAUGACUGACGCUGAGGCACGAAAGCGUGGGGGAGCAAACAGG